GUUUCACAGAAAAAAGUGUUAAGAAUUGUUCUUAACCACCUCAGACUCCGGAGAGUGAAGGGAGACUGAGUUAACUGUUCCAUUGGGGACUUUGACUGUCAAAGAAGGAAGGCAACUUAGAAGAGGAGCAGGCAGCCCUUGCUGCUAUCUUCACAUGGAGUGUGGACUCAAUUCGACAAGUUUGCAGGCCUGGGCCUCUUCUACCUUUUUCCCUUUGUGU